rnacentral:rRNA from 1 species
UACGUAGGGUGCAAGCGUUGCCCGGAUUUAUUGGGCGUAAAGGGCGCGUAGGCGGCUCGGCACGUCCGUUGUGAAAUCGCCCGGCUCAACUGGGCGGGGUCGGCGGAUACGGCCGAGCUGGAGCAAGCUAGGGGGUAAUGGAAUUCCCGGUGUAGUGGUGGAAUGCGUAGAUAACGGGAGGAACACCAGUGGCGAAGGCGGUUACCUGGAGCUUUGCUGACGCUGAUGCGCGAAAGCGUGGGGAGCGAUCCGG